GAAAUGCGAUAAGUAAUGUGAAUUGCAGAAUUCAGUGAAUCAUCGAAUCUUUGAACGCACAUUGCGCCCCCUGGUAUUCCGGGGGGCAUGCCUGUCCGAGCGUCAUUACACCAAUCGAGCCUGGCUCGGUAUUGGGCGUCGCGGGUCUCGACCCGCGCGCCUUAAAGUCUCACCGGCUGAGCGACCCGUCUCCAAGCGUUGUGGCAACUAUUCGCGGGAGGGACGGGCGGCGUGGCCGUUAAACACCCCAUCAAAGGUUGACCUCGGAUCAGGUAGGGAUACCCGCUGAACUUAA
rnacentral:misc_RNA from 1 species